GCUGCCAUUCGCCGAAGCUGCAACAGCUGCUCGAAGCCCGAGAAUCGCACGCAGCAGCCCAACUGGCGUCAUUGAGGAGGUAAUGUACGUGUCCCGACCUGCCUGCAUGCUGCCCUUCGGCGACGCUGCGGUGGCUGCUCGACGCCGAAGAAUCGCACGCAGCAGCACCGCCGCGAGCAGCACUCACUUCGCCAAGUGCAUCGCAUGCUGCAGCUGCGGCGCCUCCAGCGAUCCAGUGUUGCCGAACGAGGUCACGUCGACUAUUCUUUCUCUAGAAAGAGUCGACGCGCGUUGUCACUACGUUUAUGUUAACUCUUUUGCUUUCGUGAUCCGUCACUUUUGGUUCUACUCCUUCUUUAAUAUAUCAAUAAAUAUGGUUUUGAUUGUCUA